ensembl:lncRNA
AUGGUGUACUACACUUUGGGCAAUAUAAAUCCUAAACACAGGUCUAAGUUAGCAGCCAUCCGUCUACUUGCCAUUGCAAAAUCAAGUGAUAUCUCUCAGUGUGGUGUAGAUGUGAUUUUGCAGAGAAUACAAGAGGAUUUGAAUUUGUUGUAUAAUGGAGUGAACAUCAAAACUGCCCACGGGGAGCGAACACUGUAUGGUGCAGUAGUUUCUUUCUGUGGCGAUACCCUAGCUCAGCAUGAGCUAACGGGCUUUAAAGAGGGAGUUGGAUUUGCAUUCCGAAAAUUCCGUUUUGAGGAUAUGCAAGUUCACUUUGAUGCAGAAAACUUUGUCAAAAGGUCUUUAGAUAGACAUGUCAGACAGUGUAAUGAAAUUGAGAGGGCAGCCACAGACUUUCUGAGAAGCAGUUUGAAAACCACUUAUGGAAUUAAUAGGAAAAGCAAACUAAUUGAUUUCCCAGCCUUUGAUCUCAUCAGGCAAACACCUCAGGAUAUUAUGCAUGUGAUAUUAGAAGGUGUGGCACCACUGGAAGUUAAAACUGUACUUAAACAUCUUGUGCUAUCAGGGCAGCUGGAACUGGACACAUUUAACAGUGCUAUUCUAGGAUACCCAUACUCCACUGAUGUCCGAGAUAAACCUUGCCCUAUUACUGUCACAACAUUAUCAUCGAAUGAAAACGGACUAAAGCAAUCAGCUGGGCAAAUGCUUGUCUUAUUGAAGAUUCUGCCAUUCGUGUUGGACAGCUGUGAAAGAAACGAGUACUUUCAAGUGAUUAUUGAGUUAAUAGAGAUUGUUCAGAUCUUAUUUGCACCAGUUAUUGCGUUGACCACUGCAGAAAAGCUUAAGUUGCUUAUUAAGCAACAUUUGAGCAAUGUUAAACGGUUAUUUCCUGAGAACAAUAUAACACCAAAGCAACAUUAUUUGAUACAUAUUCCUGAACAGAUUAAAGAUUUAGGUCCAAUGGUCAGACACAUGUGUAUGCGAUUUGAAUCAAAACACUGUUUUUUCAAACAGUGGUCUUCCAAGUUAAAUUUUAAGAAUGUUUGCAAGUCCUUGGUUAAACACAAUCAGAUGUUUGAGAGUUGUCAAAAUGUCAGUCGUGAGAAUCACCCAAUUUUUUCAAAAGACAUUCUAUUGGGUCCUGUAUCUGAAGUGGAAAAUAUGAAGUAUGUGCAGGAUAAAAUGAGAGCUUUUUUGGGUGUAGAAAACGUGCAUCAUGUGGUGUCUGCAAAAUGGCUUGAGCUAAGUGGCAACCGGUAUGUGCACCAGAAAUCAGUGAUUGUAAUCAAUGUUAAUGAAGGCGUUCCUGUAUUUGGGCUCAUAAAGGACAUGUACAUUGUAAAUUAUUCCUUGUAUUGCUUUGAAUGUCAAGUUUAUAAUACAGUGGGUUUCAGUCGUGAGUUUGCUUCUUACGAAAUUGAGGUCCCAAACCUUGCUCAAGCCACUGAGAUAGUGGAUUCAGAUAAAAUUGUAGAUUAUACAUCAUAUUACGCACUCAGUUUUAAGAACCGUACUUACAUUCCUCUGAAGUAUUAUCUCGGAGAUGUGUGUGAGAUUUACAAGUGCACCACUAACUGCUAA